UACGGGGGGGGCAAGCGUUGUUCGGAAUUACUGGGCGUAAAGGGCUUGUAGGCGGCCAACUAAGUCCGACGUGAAAUCCCCAGGCUUAACCUGGGAACUGCGUCGGAUACUGGAUGGCUUGAAUUCGGGAGAGGGAUGCAGAAUUCCAGGUGUAGCGGUGAAAUGCGUAGAUAUCUGGAGGAAUACCGGUGGCGAAGGCGGCAUCCUGGACCGACACUGACGCUGAGGAGCGAAAGCCAGGGGAGCAAACGGG
rnacentral:rRNA from 1 species